UACGGGGAGGGUAAGCGUUGUUCGGAAUUACUGGGCGUAAAGGGCUCGUAGGCGGCCAACUAAGUCAUACGUGAAAUCCCUCAGCUUAACUGGGGAACUGCGUGUGAUACUGGAUGGCUUGGAUUUGGGAGAGGGAUGCGGAAUUCCAGGUGUAGCGGUGAAAUGCGUAGAUAUCUGGAGGAACACCGGUGGCGAAGGCGGCAUCCUGGACCAAUAUUGACGCUGAGGAGCGAAAGCCAGGGGAGCAAACGGG
rnacentral:rRNA from 1 species